rnacentral:misc_RNA from 1 species
AAUUCUCAACUGCUUUAGCUGUUUACAGGUUAAAGUGAGGUUGGACUAUGGAGGUUGAUUGCUGGCGUAAGUCCUGACUUACUUGUUGGCUCCUCUUAAAUGGAUAAGCUUUUCCAGUAGAUAAAGGUUAAAGUUUACAUCAAUGUGAUAAUUAUUUUGCAUUGGGUGCACUUUUUCCCUACAGAAAAGAUGGCAUUGCCUCUACUAUUAUUAUGACAA